rnacentral:rRNA from 1 species
UACGUAGGGGACCAGCGUUGUCCGGAUUUACUGGGCGUAAAGAGCGCGCAGGCGGUCGUUCAAGUCGAGUGUGAAAGCCCCCGGCUCAACUGGGGAGGGUCAUUCGAUACUGAUCGACUGGAAGGCAGGAGAGGGAAGCGGAAUUCCCGGUGUAGUGGUGAAAUGCGUAGAUAUCGGGAGGAACACCAGUGGCGAAGGCGGCUUCCUGGCCUGUUCUUGACGCUGAGACGCGAAAGCUAGGGGAGCGAACGGG